GACAGAGGGUGCAAACGUUGUUCGGAAUCACUGGGCGUAAAGCGCGUGUAGGCGGCUAUGUAAGUCGGACGUGAAAUCCCACGGCUCAACCGUGGAAGUGCGCUCGAAACUGUGUAGCUUGAGUCCUGGAGAGGAAGACGGAAUACUUGGUGUAGAGGUGAAAUUCGUAGAUAUUCGGAAGAACACCAGUGGCGAAGGCGGCUCGCUGGACAAGUAUUGACGCUGAGGUGCGAAAGCGUGGGGAGCAAACAGGAUUAGAAACCCUAGUAGU
rnacentral:rRNA from 1 species